UGAGUAACACGUAUCCAACCUGCCGUCUACUCUUGGCCAGCCUUCUGAAAGGAAGAUUAAUACAAGAUGGCAUCAUGAGUCCGCAUGUUCACAUGAUUAAAGGUAUUCCGGUAGACGAUGGGGAUGCGUUCCAUUAGAUAGUAGGCGGGGUAACGGCCCACCUAGUCUACGAUGGAUAGGGGUUCUGAGAGGAAGGUCCCCCACAUUGGAACUGAGACACGGUCCAA
rnacentral:rRNA from 1 species